UGGGGGAUAUUGCACAAUGGGCGAAAGCCUGAUGCAGCGACGCCGCGUGGGGGAUGAAGGCCUUCGGGUUGUAAACUUCUUUUUCUCUGAACAAUGCAUGCUAAUGGGUGUGUUGAGUGUAGGGGUUGAUUAGCGCCGGCUAACUACGUGCCAGCAGCCGCGGUAAUACGUAGGGCGCGAGCGUUGUCCGGAAUUAUUGGGCGUAAAGGGCUUGUAGGGUGCUGGUUGAGUCUGUCGUGAAAGCUGAUGGCUUAACUGUGGGUUUGCGGUGGGUACGGGCUGGCUUGAGUGCAGUAGAGGAGGCUGGAAUUCCUGGUGUAGCGGUGGAAUGCGCAGAUAUCAGGAGGAAUACCGGUGGCGAAGGCGGGUCUCUGGGCUGUUACUGACACUGAGGAGCGAAAGCAUGGGGAGCGAACAGG
rnacentral:rRNA from 1 species